UAACUGUCCAAUGUUGAACAACAACAAGCAAUGAUAUGGGUUUACCUUUGUGGUUGUACUAAUUUUAGCACAUGAUGUCUGGUAAAUACUGGUAAUGUGUAUGGGUGUAUAUUUUUUAGGUUUUGAUCAGUGGAUUGACUAAUUGUAUAGGCUUACAAUAAUACUCCUUGGCAUAUAUCAUUAUGGCAUCAUGCUAACUUUUUUUUUGUUUUGAAUGAGCAACGAUGGUGUGGACCAGGACACAGUUGUUGGUGCUCACAAAGCGGUGACAGUGCAACUAAAGGUCUCUGCUUGGGAAGUAUGCUCAAGUGUGCAGCAGAGCAAGUGAGCCAACACCUCAUGUGAAGCACAUAAUAAGGGCUUCUGGAGAGAAUAAUAAUGGUGGCAUUUCUGUGAAGGAUAUUAGAAUUGGAGUGCAGGAAGCCACCUAGCCUUGGAGGUCAUAGCUGGCCCAUCUCAUGGCACAAACCGCUACCUGCAGUCAGAUAAUAUGUCCAUGCUCCCGAUGACUCUUUGAAGGCACAAGUGAAUCAUCUAUGUUUUUUCUAAUAUUUUGUUGAAAAUUUUCUUAAAGAGUGACAUGAUGAUAUUGAUGUGUUGAUUGAUGCUCUGACCUGAAAAUAAACUGAUUGUAAUUCUACUACCACUAAUUAAGGUAACUCAAUAUUAUCA